ACCUGCCUCAGCCUCCCAAGUGCUGAGAUUAAAGGUGUGUGCCAUCACUGCCUAGCUGUUCUUUUCUUUCUAUUCAGUGUAUCAAGUUGAAAACAUGCCAUAAAGUUUUUGAGAUUCCAGAAAUGGGGUGUUGAGACACAACUUUCCUGGGUCACUCAUUACUGCACAUCUUGCCAGGCAGAGCACUGACCACCUUACUCCAGACUGUCUUUUGAAGGAUGUAUGUAUCACAAACAACCAUGGGGAUUCAGGUAGAAUCUGGCUCUACCUAGAUCAAUGGGAAGGCUAGCUUUAGCCUUUAGGAAGAUAGAGACACUGUCUCCUAGAACAGACAUGUGCUCAAGCCAUUUCAAAUGAUUUGGGGUCCCCAAACUCAGGAUUCCUGUAGUACUCUCCACUGCAGAUGUAAAUAUUGCCUGAUGGAUCUUUGUCUGCAUCUUCAAUUCAAUUCUAUCAGCAUGUCUGUUUUUGUUCAUAUAUCACGCUGUAUUUAUUACUAUAGCUCUGUAGUGCAACUUGAACUCAGGAACGGUGACACCUCCAGCAGUUUUUAUUGUUCAGGAUUCUUUUAGCUAUCCUGGAUUUUUAUGUUUCCAUCUAAAUCUGAUCAUUGUUCUUUUAAGAUCUGUGAAGACUUUGUAUUGGAAUUUUGAAGGAGACUGCGUUACAAGCAUCUUUUAAAACGCACAGAAUAAAUUAGCUUUCAAAAAGAAUGGGGCAAUUUGAAAAAGUUUGUAUUGGGCUGUUGCUUUCUGAAACCAUCCUGGCAUAGCAAUUGUCUGAGAAAACCAUAGAAAGGUUCUGGAAUGGACCCAAACAAAAUUAUGACGAAUUUAGGAUGGGCGCGUCAAAAAGGUGAAGAGCAUAAGCCGUGAAUUCUGGGUCGUGCUUUGCACACUCUGGCCCCUCCCCGCCAGCCCCAAGGCACAGGCAGAUGUUUUCUAACCUCUUAGCGCGGCCUCCUUGUCUGAAAACUGACUGUGAUAAUACCCAGCAAUUCUGUCUUGAAGAUUACACAAUAACGUUUUGUGCAAAAUGCUGCAUAAAUAAAGAAUUUCUAAUAAAUAUUUGUUGAAUCUAAAUGACAGGGUCUGGACCAGUACUGAGCUGUAUUAGCUACCUGUUUGUUGCUGUGACAAAAGCCACUGUAAGAAGGAGGGGCUUAUUUGGGUUCAUGGUUCCAGAGGACAGCCCGCCAUGGCCUGGAAGUCAUGGCCACGGGAGCUUCGGGGAGCCGGCCAUAUUACAUCGGAUGAAGACAGUCCUUCCAUCCUGUUCUCAGACCGUGCGAGGGUGCUUCUCAUGAUUAAGCCAUUAAACAGGUCUCAAAAACAGUGCUGACUUCAGAGUGCAGACCCACAUCAUGCAUUUGGCUGAAAAAUCCCACUGCGUGAUUUCACAGCAGCCUGACGUCGGCCCAAAGGGAGAAGGACUGGAAAGGGGGUCUGGGAAGAUGAAACUGAGUCUCCCAGAGGUGGAGCGGCUCCUGAUCACAUCGAUUUCCCCUUCUCCCAAGACAUCCAACCCUUCCUGCUGCAGCGCCUGCCUUGCCAUUUCUCCCUCAGAUGAAGAAAUGCUCACUGAGUGGUCCUGUCAGACAGAGCAAGAGGCCAUAUUGGAGUCAGCAUCUUCCUGGAACCAGUGGUCAGUGUCCUGCUGUCCCCCAGAGGACACCAUGCCCGGGAACAAGUCAUUGCAUGAGAAGAAAAAGCAAACAGCCAGGAUUUAAUACUGGACCCUGAAGAAGUGGACCCUGAAUUGCCAGGAUUCACUGAGUGGCCCAGACUGGCCUUGUAUGGCAAUCCUCCUGCUUCAACUUCCUCACCGUGUCCAGCUCGUAGUUCUUCAUUCAUUGCCCUUGGUCCUCGCAAGCCCAUUAGUGUUGGGAAUGAAUGAUAUGUAACUCAAUGGAGAAUCUGAUGAUUCUGGGAACCCCUUUUCCAAACUGUUCCCAAAUAAAUUCUUGACAUUAGGAGGGGAAAAAGAGGGAGCUAAGGAAUCAUCCUUACAGAGAGGUAUAACCUCGGUGUGAAUCCAGCCACGUACUCAGAGAAGCUUGAGGACUGCAAGAACUCCUUCAAGGCACCUACAAGACCCACUGGGUCCUGAAGCAUGAGAUUCCAUUACUAUUGUCUUCAUACUCAUAGCUAUAGCAUUAUAACUGGUCAUAAAGUUAUCUAGCACUUUCUACUUCACCCAUUGAUUAAAUCUGUACUUUCUCUAGAAAAAUCCCACAAGUUGGCCACACAUUGGAUAGAAACUAAUUUCCUCAUGCUUUUUUUUUCUUAUUCUAAAUUUUUAUCAGCCAUUAAUUUGCAGAAUGAGUGACUCUUGACUUAAUAUUGGAAGACACAAAAUUAAGUAAAUUGAGCCCGCAAUAAGGCUGUCAUUUUAGCAAUUUUGUAACAUCCCAUUUAUCGUGUAAUUAUGUGGGUGCAUUAGAAUAUGAAUAGCUAGUUAUUUCCUAUUUCUACUUUUAUAGUAGCAGGAUGAUAAAGAAAUUUCAGGUUAAAGAGGAAAGAAAGAAGGCAAACUAUCAAGAGAUGUUAAGAGCAUCUGAACUGUGGGCUGACGAUUAUUCUGGUUUGAAUUUUUAAAAUUGUUGUGAUCUAAGAAAAUAAGAAAAAGAAAAUUGAUUCAAUAGGCUUUAAAACCGAAGUUUUCCUGGCUAACUCUAACAUUUGACUACUUUUGCCCUUCAGGUUAGCAGCAAAUGAAUGAGGAAGGAUUUACUCUUGACAGAAUCUUAUUCUUAAGAAUAAGGCUGUCUUUGGAGCUAUUAACAGAGUAUUCUCUCAUAUAAUUACUGUGCAGGAUUUGUGUGUCUGUGUGCCAUUUUUCAGCAUGCAGUCCAUUUCAUUAAAAUGUGUAAGAUCAGCUAGCGUGGGCUGUUUGGUGCCUGCUGAGUGAUUAAUCAGCUUGGGAGCCUCGGUAGGAUUAAGUCUUGGAAUAAACAAGGAUUAUUUAUUUA